AAGUGAAUCUAAAACUUCACUUUAGACGCACCAUUUUGUUUAGCAUAUUUGGUAGACUGCCAUUCAACGACAAAGAGACGAAGUCUGUCACCAGUGGUGAUAUCCGGUGUAACCAGCGCCUCCAUUUCAAAGAGACGCGCGGUGAAGAGAGGCUGAGGGGAUUCUGUGGGAAUCAGAAGACGGACACAAAGCAGAUGUGAGGAUGGAGUAUCCAGAGCACUCUGAUCCAGAUGAGGAAGAAGAGAAGACCAGAGCCCCUAAAGGGGGUGUGUCUACUUCUGACAGGUCA